rnacentral:rRNA from 1 species
CCCUUAGAUGUUCUGGGCCGCACGCGCGCUACAAUGGCAGACUCAGCGAGUUACCUCUGUCGAAAGGCACAGGGAAUCUUUACAGUAUCUGCCGUGAUGGGGAUAGACCCUUGUAAUUUUUGGUCUUCAACGAGGAAUUCCUAGUAAACGCAAGUCAUUAACUUGCAUUGAUUACGUCCCUGCCCUUUGUACACACCGCCCGUCGCACCUACCGAUUGAAUGGUCCGGUGAAGUCCUCGGACCCAGUUGAACCUCGAGUUGAACAGGGAAAGUUGACUAAAUCUUACCAUUUAGGGGAAGGUGAAGUCGUAACA